rnacentral:rRNA from 1 species
GACGAACGCUGGCGGCGUGCUUAACACAUGCAAGUCGAGCGGAAAGGCCACUUCGGUGGUACUCGAGCGGCGGACGGGUGCGUAACACGUGCGUAAUCUGCCCCUCACUUUGGGAUAGCCACCGGAAACGGUGAUUAAUACCGGAUAUGACCAUAUGUCGCAUGGCGUGUGGUGGAAAGUUUUUCGGUGGGGGAUGUGCUCGCGGCCUAUCAGCUUGAUGGUGAGGUAAGGGCUCACCAUGGCUUCGUUGGGUAGCCGGCCUGAGAGCGUAGACGGGCUCACUACGACUACGGGACGCAGCAGAAGCCAAUGUUCGGCAGCGGUCGAAAAUCUUGCGCAACAGGCCGAAGCCUGUGACAGAGGCGCCGCGUGCGUAAUGCCGGGUUUCUGGUUGUAAACCACUGUCAGUGCAGACGAGCCGGUAGUGACGGUACGUAAAGAAAAAGCACCGGCUAACUACGUG